AGAGUUUGAUCAUGGCUCAGAACGAACGCUGGCGGCGUGGAUAAGACAUGCAAGUCGAACGAGACUUUUCGUUGUAGCAAUACGAUGGAAAGUUUAGUGGCGAACGGGUGCUUAACACGUGGGCAACCUGCCAGGAAGUGGGGGAUAGCUCGCCGAAAAGGCGAAUUAAUACCGCAUGUGAUUAGAGAGGACAUCCUUUCAAAAUUAAAGUCGGGGCAACCUGACGCUUCUUGUGGGGCCCGCGGCCUAUCAGCUAGUUGGUGAGGUAACGGCCCACCAAGGCUUUGACGGGUAGCUGGUCUGAGAGGACGACCAGCCACACUGGGACUGAGACACGGCCCAGACACCUACGGGUGGCAGCAGUCGAGAAUUUUUGACAAUGGGGGAAACCCUGAUCGAGCGACGCCGCGUGGAGGAUGAAGGUCUUCGGAUUGUAAACUCCUGUCAUUGGGGAACAAUGCACAGAUAUUAACUGUAUUUGUGUUGAUAGUACCCGAAGAGGAAGAGACGGCUAACUCUGUGCCAGCAGCCGCGGUAAUACAGAGGUCUCAAGCGUUGUUCGGAUUCAUUGGGCGUAAAGGGUGCGUAGGCGGCGCGGUAAGUCGGGUGUGAAAUCUCGGAGCUUAACUCCGAAACUGCAUUCGAUACUGCCGUGCUUGAGGACUGGAGAGGAGACUGGAAUUUACGGUGUAGCGGUGAAAUGCGUAGAUAUCGUAAGGAAGACCAGUGGCGAAGGCGGGUCUCUGGACAGUUCCUGACGCUGAGGCACGAAGGUCAGGGGAGCAAACGGGAUUAGAUACCCUAGUAGUCC
rnacentral:rRNA from 1 species